GGAGCGCCGGAAAGACUUCUCCCCUAUGAUCCGGGCGAAGCCGAAGUCACACAGCUUCACCUGCGGCACAGAGGCAGAGCUGAUUAAAGACGAUGCGGUUUGCUGUAUCGGGAACUAAAGCGCGAAAUCCCACCUGAGUGUUUGAAAACUGCAUUAAAACCUGCAAGAUGGACACUUCGUUUCUCAGCUGCGUCUCCUGUUUGGUGGGGAAACGCGUCUUGUCGAUGACCUUGAUGGCAACUGUUCGACCCGACUUCCUAUUACUGCAUAGAGACAGUCACAGGAUUUUCAUGUACUCCACGUGUUCAGUUUUCUGAACAUAACAACAUGAUGAGAAUCAGCUGACCUCCGUACACCACGCCAAACUGUCCCGACCCCAGCACCUCGUCUGUACAGAUCU